rnacentral:lncRNA from 1 species
AUUACCCAAAUAAAAGACACAAAGACCUUUGGAAUUCUAGUAAGCUUCAAAACACUGGACCUGGGCAGAUAUCAACCCUCUAAGAGUUGGGGAAGAGCUACAAGGUCACUGAGGUAAUGCAAAAGUUCCUGCCCUCAGCAAUGACGGGGAAUGGAGAAUGGCUAGAAGAUGGAGUGUCUUGAAAGGUUUAUGCCCUUAGAGGACAAUACAAGAUUCCUAUUAAUGAAACACUGAUGAUGAUGAUGAUGACGAUGACAAUGACGAUAAUGGUGAGGACAAUGACAAUGACAGUGAUGAUUAUGGGAAGAUGAUGACGACGACAAAACAAUACCACCACAUGAGUAAUUACAGAUUUUAGAAGUUCACAUUUAUUGUAUAAUUUUACCCUUACAACAAUUCAAUGAGGUAGAUAUUAUUUCCACUUUACAUGAAGAGACUGAGAAUUUGAGAGCAAACAUGUGCUAUUGAAAUGCACAUUCACUACAGUAAAUGUUAUCCCAAAGCAUACAUCCUGACUCCAAAGUAAUUUUGUAUACAAUAUAAAGCUUACAAUGGGAAUGACUGUCUACCUUUGUUUCCUAAAUUCUGAAAUCCACACAACAUUUACUCUAGUGAGUACCAAGAAGAUUUUAGGUGGUAGAUUCAACAGACACAGAAGCAAAGGAGUGAAAUAGCCUCAGCUCACACAGAUUUAGUCCCUGAUUACAUGCUUAAUGGAUGACGGAAGAGAAGAGAAAAUUAAAGGAGUGUCCUACUGAGAAACAGGCGAUACUCCUGUCAGCAGGUAAAGUAUCUUUAAACAGAGUUUUGAGUCACUGGGCAAAGCAGUUCCAUAGAGGUGAGAUUUUUACGAAGAGAUUAGAAAAGAGGGAAGAACAGAGGUGGGGGUGCAUCAGACACAUCUUUACUUGUAAAGAUCAAAAUGACUUUUAGAACUGGUGGCGGACUGUGGAGUCCAUCACUGUAACGCUUAGUAUUGCUGAGAGGCAGAGCUGCCAGCCGUACAGUCCCGGAAUAUUUUCCUCCCAGGGGGGAUGAGUAGGAGAGACCCUGCUUGUCAUUGCUAGACCACCUGGGACUCUUCUUCACUGGCAUGGCCACCUGCAACUGCUUCCAGAACCUGCCCUGAGGAUACUUGGAUUUCUCUCCUUUCCAUUUAAUGACCGUGAGCACCGUCUUAGCCCGCUUCAGCUCUUUCACCUUCAUGUCCUUCACAGCUUUGUACUGCACUAAAAUGACGUUGAUGUUGCCCCGGGAGGCCAUAUUUUCUAGGCCAGCCUUGAGCUCCAGGAGGGCUUGUGUUCCCUGGAGCACGUAGUUGGGACUUAGGACAACCAGGAGUCGUCUGCUUUUCUGAAUGAAGCUCAGGGUCUCAUCUGUGACAACUGGGAAAGAAAACACCAUGGGGAUUAGUGUUGGCCAAGAACUACCUGAUUCAAAGAGGUGAAGGAUGGAAGAUAGGGAACUUGGAACGACAGCCUGGGAAACAAGGCUGAAACAGCUUUAUCAGCAACAGUCCUAGUAACUUUCUCUUUAACCACACUGUUCCUGGAAUGUCACUCUGAUGAGGAAAAAAAAAUGGAGUCAUAUAUAAAUGCCCAACUCUCCAAAUGUUUCCAAAUGACUAAAACUAAAAUAUGGUGGAAUAUGAUGGGCUGCUGUUACCCAGUUCCUCAAAGGCCCUAUUUGAACCAGAUGGAAUAGAUAUAUUGUAGUGACAUCACUUUCUUCAAAUAGUGUUGCAGCUCAGACAAAGAGGCUCCUGAAAGAAAAUACUAUCUUCUAUGAAACGUCUUCACACAAAUAUGAACUUCAGAGUCAAAGCCCCCAAGUUGCAGCUGCAGCUAACCAAGGACAACACCAGGGAAUGCCAAAUUUGAGUCUGUCUCUCUGUCUCUCUCUCUCUGUCUCUCCCUCUCCCCCUCCCUCCCUCUCUCUCUUUCUCUGCUGAUGUGUACUUUCCUGAUGCCAACUGAUGUCACUGUUGCUAGAUUAGUAACUCAAGCAAAUGGCAUCUUGGCAAGCAGUGUAUUCCCCCAUCAGCUCUUUAGUUUUCUCUGUUGUGGAGAUGAAAUAAAACAUGCAUAUUUCUCUUUAACCUCUGGUUAUCACUGGACAGCCCAUCGUCAGCUACUGCUAGGUGAUGUGUUUUGCAUUUACUAACUUUGAAUUACUUUCUCCAAGUUGGGAAAAAAAAUAGUGCGGAAAAUGGAAAUACAGCCUAAUUUUAUUCAAGGGCUCUGAUUAAUUCCUGU